GUGUGGUUUUGUGUGUGCAUGUGUGUGUUGUAUGUGGUGUGUUGUGUGUAAGUGUGUAUGUCACACAUAUAUUAAAAUCUUAGCCUGGUGCUGUUUGUGAUUACCCAGCCCCAGUACUUCAUGGAAGCAGCCCACAUGGACGAAGGGGCCCUUCCAGUGCUGCAGUCUUGAGCUAAGAGUUCACGUAUUCCGAGACAAUGUGCUUGGGACGUGGGACUUCUUCCCCCGCACUCCUCCUGUCCUCCGCCUCCUCUGUGAGCUGCGGUCUCCCCGCACGCCUGACGCAGGGCUGGUUUUGCUCUGCACCUGCACAGACCGGAGAUGCCCUUGGCGACGUCGUCUGCUCCUCCGGUGCUUCCAAACGCGGGUGCGGCCCCCCCACCCCGACAACUCGGUCUUCCCUUCGGACACUGCUGAGACCCUUACACGGGGUGGUUUCCCGAGACACUGCGGAGAUCACCCCUCCCUAACGAGUUCUGCAGACUCCCUGGAAGUCUUGCUGGAAAUGCUUUCUCUUUUUCCGUCUGGGAUGGAAAAACGCUCCCCAUGGCUCCACCAUCAGUCAGAGAGACGUUCCAAGCCGGUCUUUCCACUUGGGUUUUCUCAUCCGGCUGUCUUUUAUUUACACGCGCCUGAAACUCCCGAACACUGCUCGGUAAACACUCCCUCAUUCACAAGCAAAUGCCGGCCCCGGGCCCGCACCCGUCCUUCUCCAGGAAAGGCCAGCAGACGGACUUUCUUCACAUUCUCUGGGGUUUUGGGGGAAGGGUAUGUUUUCCCUGACAUCACUCCAAAUGUAUUUCUUAACAAAAACCUCCUAGCCUUUGGAAAAUGGAAAAGAAGUUACUCAUCUAGAAGGAAACUCCAAGUUUUUAGGACCCACAAACCCCCCGGGUGA
rnacentral:lncRNA from 1 species